GCGGAGGAAAAGAAACCAACAGGGAUUGCCCCAGUAACGGCGAGUGAAGCGGCAACAGCUCAAAUUUGAAAUCUGGCCCCCAGGGCCCGAGUUGUAAUUUGCAGAGGAUGCUUUUGGCGCGGCGCCUUCCGAGUUCCCUGGAACGGGACGCCAUAGAGGGUGAGAGCCCCGUCUGGUCGGACGCCAAGCCAGUGUAAAGCUCCUUCGACGAGUCGAGUAGUUUGGGAAUGCUGCUCUAAAUGGGAGGUAUAUGUCUUCUAAAGCUAAAUAUAGGCCAGAGACCGAUAGCGCACAAGUAGAGUGAUCGAAAGAUGAAAAGCACUUUGAAAAGAGGGUUAAACAGUACGUGAAAUUGUUGAAAGGGAAGCACUUGUGACCAGACUUGGGCCCGGUGAAUCAUCCAGCGUUCUCGCUGGUGCACUUCGCCGGGCUCAGGCCAGCAUCAGUUCGCCGCGGGGGAUAAAAGCUUCGGGAACGUGGCUCCCUCGGGAGUGUUAUAGCCCGUUGCACA
rnacentral:sRNA from 1 species